rnacentral:rRNA from 1 species
UUGAGCGCUGGCGGCAUGCCUUACACAUGCAAGUCGAACGGUAACAGGUCUUCGGAUGCUGACGAGUGGCGAACGGGUGAGUAAUACAUCGGAACGUGCCCGAGAGUGGGGGAUAACGGAGCGAAAGCUUUGCUAAUACCGCAUACGAUCUACGGAUGAAAGCAGGGGACCGCAAGGCCUUGCGCUCAUGGAGCGGCCGAUGGCAGAUUAGGUAGUUGGUGGGAUAAAAGCUUACCAAGCCGACGAUCUGUAGCUGGUCUGAGAGGACGACCAGCCACACUGGGACUGAGACACGGCCCAGACUCCUACGGGAGGCAGCAGUGGGGAAUUUUGGACAAUGGGGGAAACCCUGAUCCAGCCAUUCCGCGUGAGUGAAGAAGGCCUUCGGGUUGUAAAGCUCUUUCAGCAGGAACGAAACGGUCGGCUUUAAUAAAGUCGGCUAAUGACGGUACCUGCAGAAGAAGCACCGGCUAACUACGU